GACGAACCGUGCGAACGUUAUUCGGAAUCACUGGGCUUAAAGCGCGUGUAGGCGGGACGGCACGUCUGUCGCUGAAAUCCCCCGGCUUAACCGGGGAACUGGCGUAGAUACGACCGUCCUGGAGGGGCGUAGGGGGACCUGGAACUUCCGGUGGAGCGGUGAAAUGCGCAGAUAUCGGGAGGAACACCGGUGGCGAAGGCGGUUCUCUGGGCCUGUACUGACGCUGAGGAGCGAAAGCGUGGGGAGCGAACAGG
rnacentral:rRNA from 1 species